rnacentral:pre_miRNA from 1 species
UUUCAUAGAUAAACAAAGAAAGUGGUUUCUUGAGAUGGAAUCCACUCCUGGUGAAGAUAUUGUGAA